rnacentral:rRNA from 1 species
GCCAGCAGCCAUAUCACCCUGCUGCUCGCCACUGUCAGCCCACUGGAGCUCAGCAGGUGUGAGUCUGGUCAGUACCUGGAUGGGAGACCUCCUGGGAAAGCUAAGGCUGCUGCUGGAN